AUUGAAGCAUUCAUUCUAUGGAUUUAUUCUGCUCACGUUCUCAGUCCGAGAAAACACAGAGAGAGAAAGAACAACUUUUCAGAUGGUGCAUUGGAGACUGAUGUGUUCCUGUCCUGUCUUUUCACAAUACUAUUGCAGCUGUGCUAAUGAAGACGGGAUGCAGAUGAGGGCGGAGGUCAUCUCCGUAGCGUUCGACCCCAGCACCCGCAGCAUGCCACUCUGACUGCCACAGGUUGAAGUCACACCCAAGUUAAUUCUUCAAUUAGCAUGAGCCAGAUAUUCGAGGAAGAUCGGAGGGCCCGCCAAUCGAUGUCCAAUUAGCGAGGCCUCGUGGACCAGAGACGAGACUGUUUUAUGGGCUUUGAUGAGGAUGAUGGUGCUGCCACUAACAUACAUGAUGAAACAAGGUGUGUGUGUGUGUGUGUGUGUGUGUGUGUGUGUGUGUGUGUGUGUGUGUGUGUGUGUGUGUGUGUGUGUGUGUGUGUACGUGCAUGCGUGUUUGUGUUUGUAGUCUGGGACAGACACUCUUUCACCUCUACACCCUCCUUGUUUCCACCUCUCUCCCUCCAUCCUAAAGGUUUCCCUAUCUCCUUGCUCCACUUCCACAGCCCAAUCUGCCCUCACCCCCACCCCUCGGCUCAUUCGCAGGCAUCAGGUUUGUCUGCGGCUCAGUGGCCAUGGCGACAGUGUUGUCGGUGGGAGAUCGUGGGGUCAGGGGCCAAUCGCAGGUCACGUAGUUGACUAUCUGUCUGUGUCACAGGGUGGUCACCUUUGACCCGUGCCUUGCAGCCCCGUCUGAAAGAUGAGACAGAGAGCAGUUGUUUCGUGAGACAUCCAAGAGGAUAAAUGUCUGUUUGUUUAAACACCCAAGCCAGUCAUUCUAUCAUUUGAAGCAUUCACAUCACAGCGCAAUGCCCCUGCCCAGUAAAAACGAGUAUUAUUUCUCCCUUGAACUAAUGCACAGAGCCCUGCUGUUCUAACUGUCAUCUGUUAAAUUUCAGGACGUAACCUUGAGUCUAGCGUCUCCCCCCAUCUCCCCCUGGCUUUCAGCAAGCCCAUGGCAUCUUCAGAGGUUGGAGACUCUUGAAGUGUGAUCCAUUUAGAUAGUGGUUACUUUCUUCCUGUGCACACAACCACUCGCACACACACACACACACACACACACACACACACACACACACACACACACACACACACACACACACACACACACACACACACACACACGUGUGCCCGGACAAACACACACACACACAAUCACGUACACGCAGUCAUGCAGUUUUUUUGGUUGAAAGUCAUCCCAGAUAAGCUUGACAGACAGGUAGUAAAUGUUUGGAAAGUGUAUGUCGUGAGUCUGCUAAAUGACUCAAAUGUAAAUGUAAAUGUUAUGGUUAUAUGCUUCUUUAGGUACAUUUAUACUAUUUACAGUUUUAAAAUAGACAAGCAAUAACACCAUUAUAGUGUUUUAUUUUCAGGGUUUCAACUUCGAUCAGUUUCAAUGCCUGCUCAUUGCCUUCGACUUCAUUCAAAUACAUUCUGUUGUCCAAAUCAUCCCCAUAUGGUCCAUAUCAUCCCCCGUACGCUGUAUGUGAAGGUUUACAUUGAACAUUCCAGCCUUGUAUAUCAUCUCACUUACAUUCGCCUCACUCCAGCCCCACAUCUCCCCAUGCUCCAUCCCUCUAUUUUCUUAUGUUUUCCUCCUCUCCUCUCUCUCUCUCUAUUUCUCUCUCUCUCUCUCUCUCUCUCUCUAUUUCUCUAUUCCUCUCUCUCUAUUUCUCUUUUUCUCUUUUUCUCUAUUCCUCUCUCUUUUCUCUCUCUCUCUCUCUCUCUCUCUCUCUCUCUCUCUCUCUCUCUAUUUCUCUAUUCCUCUCUCUCUAUUUCUCUUUUUCUCUAUUCCUCUCUUUCGCUCUCUUUUUCUCUCUCUCUCUCUCUCUCUCUCUCUCUUUUUCUCUCUCUUUCUAUCUCUCUGUCUUUCUAUCGGUCUCUCUUUUCUCUGGCUCCUCUGGCUGGUCCCCCUGUGGCACACCGUGUCGUGUCCCUAAUUUAUUUAUAAUUAGUGCUCUUUGUCGGGAUGCGCGGGGAAUGUUAAAGUACAAGCCACUCCGCUCUGGGUACAAAUGGGCUAGUGUUCCUGCCUCUCCUCAACCCACCAACAUAGCGACCCACCGGCCAGUAGGGAGAGCUCUGCUGCUAGCCGCAACCACAGCCCCAGACAAAGGCCAGCACCUUCGGACGCAGCGGCACACACACGCGUACACGCACGGACGGACGCGGGCAUAUGCACACACGCUCACACAGAUCUACCGGUAAAUGGUUGAGACUGAACGGAAAGCGACGUACAGACUGCUUUUCUGCGUUAGUAAUAGGUGUUUGUUAUUGCGUUGCAAUUUUGAACAUUAUUUAGGGCGUAUUUGAAAAGGGUCCUGAGUGAAAUGUGAACGUGUUAGUGCAGAGUGUUCGUUUCUAGGUUUGCUUUGGUUGUUGGUGUAGAAAGACUGGGUAUGAAUUAUCACUGUUAGCAUUUCUUAUCACGUCUAUUAACGUCAACUCUGUCAUACUUCAUUAACCUCACCAAGAAUGGCAGUAGUGACAGGACACACACACACACACACACACACACAUACACACUUGUGAUCAGCCAGCAGGAAGAGCUUUUGUCCUUGGGCUGGGAGGGCACCUGGCUCCUCUCCCGUCCUUGUGAUCCCUCCGUUCCUUCCCUCUCGUGCGUUCUAUCCCUCCUCUAUCCCUCUCUUCCUCUUCCCCCUCUCUUCUCCUCGGAUCCCUUCAUCCCCCCCAUCUCUCUGUCCUCCGCCCAAGGCAAUGCCGUCCUGCAGGCUUUGAUCAGAGGGCCAGGGAGGAGAGAGGAACUGGGUCAAAAAGUUGUGCUGGAGACUGCAGGAGAACAAGGGUGGAAUAUCGAGUAGGUGAGACCGAGAGAAAGGGAGAGAUGGAGAGAUAGAAGGGAGGGAGGUAGAGUGAGAUGGGGAGCGUAAGAUGGGG
rnacentral:lncRNA from 1 species